UACGGGGGGGGCAAGCGUUGUUCGGAAUUACUGGGCGUAAAGGGCUCGUAGGUGGCCAACUAAGUCAGACGUGAAAUCCCUCGGCUUAACCGGGGAACUGCGUCUGAUACUGGAUGGCUUGAGUUUGGGAGAGGGAUGCGGAAUUCCAGGUGUAGCGGUGAAAUGCGUAGAUAUCUGGAGGAACACCGGUGGCGAAGGCGGCAUCCUGGACCAACACUGACACUGAGGAGCGAAAGCGUGGGGAGCAAACAGG
rnacentral:rRNA from 1 species